rnacentral:rRNA from 1 species
CAGCAGCCGCGGUAAUGCGGAGGGUGCAAGCGUUAAUCGGAAUUACUGGGCGUAAGGCGUGCGUAGGCGGUUCGUUAAGUCUGUUGUGAAAGCCCCGGGCUCAACCUGGGAAUGGCAAUGGAUACUGGCGAGCUAGAGUGUGUCAGAGGAUGGUGGAAUUCCCGGUGUAGCGGUGGAAUGCGUAGAGAUCGGGAGGAACAUCAGUGGCGAAGGCGGCCAUCUGGGACAACACUGACGCUGAUGCACGAAAGCUAGGGGAGCAAACAGGAUUAGAUACCCGCGUAGUCCCUGUCUCUUAUAC